CCGAGGUCUGCGUGAAAACCGCCUUGGCUGAAAUCAGAUGUAACAAGUCAUGUCUGUCUCGAACCGUUGGAUGGUAAGCCAUCAAAUGUGACAGGAGGAGAACCCAGAUGUCGCCCUAGGAGUGGAAACACUGCCUCUGAGACACAAGGAGCCUGGAUCAACAUCUUUCACUUCCAGAGACGAUCAACUGCAUUCCCACGCAGGGAUGACCCGCUGGUCCUGCGGCCCAAUCCACCAGUCUUCCGUUGCUCAUUCCCACUUCUCUGGAAUCUGCUAAGUUGCCAUCUCUUCAGAAAGACCUUUCCGGUGACCCCAUUCGUUCCCAUUACUGCCACUCUGCCUCCCGCUGUGGCUUCUUUCUUCCCCAUGAAGCUGAACAGUCCCGGAAGCUCUACAACACGUAUUUCCUUGUGUGCUGUGUGUCUCCCUGUUAGACCUGACACAUUGGUCAGGACAUUGUGCACAGCUGUGACAGGGCAGUGACUGAUGCAAAGCAUGUGCUCAACAAUAUAUGGUCCACGCCUGUGUUUUAUUCAAUUUCCUUUCACUUUGCUGUUUAGUUAAUUCAGACACAAGUGGAAUUAGCAAAUACAUCCGUGCUGUGUUAGGACAUAACAAUAAAAAUGGUAAGAUAGAUUUUGCCGUUUAUGAAUCCUAAUCUAGACCUGAAUAUAAUAAUUUGACCCCAAAAUGACACCGAAGAGAGAGUCAUAAAUAGUAUUUUUCAGUAUAUAGAGAUAAGUUAGAACCCCUGCUUGAAAGGCAGAGACAACUCGAAACUGCUUCAGCAAACAGGAGUUUAUUUGAUCACAUGUAAAAAUGUAAGACACCAUCUUCAAAGUGGGUAGGAAGGUUCAUUGAUGACAGGACAGACCACUCCCUUCCUCCACUGUCUGUCUCUGCUCUCCCCUGUGCUUUCACUCACAGAUCCCUGCCAAGACUACCAUGAGAUGAGACGACACCUGAGCUGCACGGUUACUUUCUGUCCGCAGACAGCUCUUCCCCGGAGGUCUGAUGGUUCUUACAGGAUUCUCGUUGGCCAAGCACGGCUGUGCCUCCUCAGAGCCCCUCGUCCUGGCUUCCUGCUCAGCUGCGGUUAUACACCUCCCUCUGGAUGUGAAAGGGUGAGUUUGUGAGCUGUAAGCACAAACUCUACAGGAAGCCAGUGUGUUGUUACCUGUCCCUGCCCCAACUGACAAAAUGUACAGAUCUCCAUUACUCUGUGUUGGUACCACAUUUUCUACACAUUCAGAGUUUACAUUGUCUCCUAUUUGUUGCUAGCUUUUCCCAGAAGCUAAGGAAAGGGCAGUGUCACCGAGGAAAUUAUUAUGGUUGAUACACUGUAUCAAAUUGAGAAGUUUAACUGAGAGACUGGAAGGCAGGGAGAUUUUGUGAGUGCUACACAGGCCCUGAAGGGAGAGGGUAGGUGGCCUGUGUACCAUAUAAGGGAAAAGAGGUUUUUUGUUUCUUUUUGCUCUGACUACUGCCUUGAAAUGUUGCCCCUGUGCCAUGCCACCCAGCCUUAGAGUCAGCUGAUUAUGGACUGAAACCUCCACAAAAUAAACUUUUCCUUCUUUCAUUUGGGGUGUUGGGUGUUUUGUCUCAGCAACAUGAAAAAAGUAACCAAGACAGAAUCUGUGCUAGGAAUGGGGCCAUUGCUGUGACUGUACUUGACCAUUUGGUUUAAGAACCUUUGGGAGUGGCUUGUGGGAAGAGUUUGGAAAGGUUCAGAGAUGUCACCUGAAUGAAUGGAGCUGGAAAACCCUAGGCUGUUCUGCAAGGGAGAUUCUGGUCAGAGCUCAGGAGACCAAAAGGUUGAUAGAAAACCUGCUUGUAAAGACCAGAUUUGGGAGCUUUCUACUGUUAAGAAGGACUGCAUUGGUUGUUGGACUCCACAAGAUGUAUGUUAAUGCCUGGCAGAAAGUUUGUCUGUAUUUUGCUCAUGUCCAGAGAAUCUGUCUGAGAUGGAGAGUAAAGGCUGCAGACUGAUUAAUCUGGCAGAAGAAAUUUCAAGGCAGAUGAAUGUUGGCAGUGGCAUGGCUAUUGUUGGGGGCUUUUAGCCAGAUUUAUGUUGUGAAUCAAGAGAAAAGAGCACAGAAGGUUGAUUUAAAAUAUUGUGAGAUUAGCCAGAAAGCUAUGGGUUGUAAAGAUAGAGCUGAGAUCUUUAUUACGGAGAAGGAACAGAAUAGAAAAAAAUGCCUGGGGCAUCCCAAGAAGCAUCAGGUCUCCACUCCUUGCAGCCUCAAAAUUGCAAAAGUGAAAGACUUUGCUCGGGGGAGAAAACUGCAGAGUGCCAGGUUCCAGAGUGGCGAAAGAGGCCACAGGAGGUUCCAAAAUGACAGCAACUGCACCAGAUUCCAGAAUAGUGGUGACAUAGAAAAGCUGUUCCUCACAAUCAGGUUCAGAGAGCUCAACAAUCCAGGUACUUGACCCCUCCAUCCAAGAGAGAGGGAAGACUGAUUACUUCUCCACCUGGCAGCAGACCCCAGCAUCAUCCAUGUGGUGCUGGUUUUAGAUGCACACAGAAUGCAACAGUUCUUAGGUUAAAACGCCUUUCACCUUGAUUUCAGAAGGUCUGGGAGGCCAAGCAGUGUGCCCCUGAAAGGCAGUAUGUGAAACUGUGAAUGUCAAGCCAAAGGUGCAGUGGAGACCCCAGAAGUUUGGAAAAGCCAAGCAUGUGGAUCAUCUAUGGAAACCUGCAAUGAGGGAGCAAAGCCAGCCCAAGAGAGAAGCUGUGGGAUUGAUAACCACUAGAAAUGCCACAGGGGUGGAAUCACACAAGCCCUUUGGAGCUUGCAAUUUAGAACAGAUUGCUUCAGAUGCUGGAGUGCAACUACAGGAUUUAACAUUUGCCCUGCUGGAUUUUAGACUUGAUUUGGCUCCAAUCCUUUGUACCCUCCUGUUUGUAACUUUUGGAAUGGGAAUGUUUAUCUUGUGCCUUUGCUUGUUGGAAGUGUUUAACUUUGUUUUCAUUUGCACAGGGGCUUGCAACUAAGGGUUAGCUUUCUAUCUUGGAGAAGACUUAGGAUUUGAAAUUUUCAGCAGUGCUGAAACUGUUAGGACUUUGGCAACUCUUGCAGAUGAACUAAAUGUCUUUUACAUGAAGGGAUGUACAUGAGUCUUUGGGGGGCCAAGAACAAAAUGUUAUGUUUCCAAUGUAAGAUAAUGUUGAUAGAUUUAAUGCUGGUUCCUAAGGAUUGUUAAGCUGUGUUAUAAUGUUCAAGUUGCAAAAUGUUAAGAAUAAGCAUGGCUUUGUAUCUGGAGGCUGAUUUAAAGAAAUGUGUCUGGUUGCCAAGUUGACAAGGGGUGGAUUGUUAUAGUUGAUAUAUUGUGUCAACCUGAGAAGUUUAGAAGCUUAACUGAGAGAUUCAGCAGAGAGCUGGUUUCUUACUUUGCAAAUAUCCUCAUCCUGUGCAAGAGGAGGGCAAGGAGACUUUAUGAGUGCUACACCCACCCUGAAAAGGGCUGUGUACAAUAUAAGAGAGAAGAGGCUUUUUUUCUUUUUGCUCUGGAUGCCUUGAAGUAUUGCCCCAGCACCAUACCAUCCUGCCUUAGAACAAGUUGAUUAUGGACUGAAACCUACACAAACAGUGAGCUAAAAAACUUUCCCUUCCUUCAUUUUGGGUGUGGAGUAUUUUGACUCAGCAAUGAGAAAAAAGUAACCAAGGCAGUAAUAAAAAAGAAAAAUAAAACCAUUACAUUCUUUAGGAUACUGAGUAUAAAAUUCUAUGCAAGCCGUAAUACACAAUAUUAUUUACAUGAUAAAAAUAAUUAUAUGUAAAAUUUUUAAAAUGGAUUUAGUAAAGAAAGAUGAGAUUGUUAAAACAGGUGUGCAGUUGGCAAUACAAGAUGGAAAUAGUCAGCUAUUGCUUGGAGACAACUUUGAAGACUAUGCAUUUUCUGAUGGUCCAGUUUAGCAGACUGAUAUAAUGCUGGCCACUAGAACAUAUUCUACUGUUUGUUCUCCCCUUCUGUAAAAUGCAUGCUCUCUAUCAUUUAAGGCAAUGUUAAUCAUUAAGUGCACUGUAUAUAAAUAAUAUUAUUAAUAGCUAAAAUAUAUUAGUAUGCACUGUUUAAACACAUUCCCACAUACUAAAUCCUCUAUCUCCAUGAGGUCAGGGUCGGUAGUAGGCACUUUUAUUACCUCUCUCUUGUCAUGGAGAAAAUGGAUGUCCAAAUGUUUAAGCAACUUGUCCAGGGGGUGUGGCCAGCUCCAGGUCAACUACAUGACCUCCACCCCUGCUGCAAAGAAACAGUUCAAAUCCGAAGGCCUGGCGAAGGCACCUCUGAGCUUUCAGGCCCACAAUCACUGCUUCUUUCUAGAUCUCCUAUUACACUGGCCACUGCAAACACAGUUGACAUUUUAUGCUAUCUCAGCCUUCACCUGCAACGUUCUGCUUUGUCACAUCUAAUUUUCUCUUCCAGUAAUUUAACACUUGCUCAUUCUAUCUAUUCAACGCUUGUGCAUAAUGUGGAAUUUGAAUUAUGAGUUUUCCUCCCUCUCCCAGAAACCAACAUACUUUUGAGUAUAAAACAGCUGCUCAAUACAUAGAAAUUAAUUCUCUUUGGUUACUGAAAAUUCCUUUAUGUAUAAUCAUAAAGUCUCAACUUUGGCAUUUUUUGAAACUAUCAUAAAUUUUCAUUUCCCUUGCAAGAAUGUUCAUCCUCCAUGGUUUUUACAGCUGUGGAAGAACAAGAGACAAAGCCAUGCAAGGCACAAGCAUCGUUUAUGCGACACGUACUUACAGUGGUGCAGCGUUUGAAAGCUGGUCAUGAGUACGAAAGUUCGGCUAAUAAACCCGAGGAGCUGAGAUCAUGUCUGUAUGGCCACAUCAAUGCCUCACAUGGCAACUAGUCUGGUGGCCAUUGAAUACAUUUAUCUUCAUCACUCAGUGAAUAAGAAAUUAUUUUCACAGACAAGUGAGGUGGCAAUGGUAGUUUGUUUGUUUAUUUAUUGUAUGUUUUUGUCCCCAUACAGGCAAAUGUUUUUACAUAUUUGCACACUUGAUUGCAAACUACAGAUCAUAUUCAAGCUAUUUUCAUAGAGAAUACAUUGAUUAUACCGCUCACAGAAUGCUGCGGUGGUCAGAGGAGUGGGGGUGGAAGCUGGGUGAGUGGGAAUGGACCCCACUCACCCUGCUGCUCUCAGCAUCCGCUGAGAACUGCAAUUUUCUGAGCAGAGGCUGAGCAAAGAAUGCUCCCACGGGACUUCCAUCUCCAUCGCAUAAAAAACCCGUGGAAGGAGCACAGCGGCAGCCCAGGUGUCAGCCUUUCAGUGCCACCUGAGUGAGUGAGCCUGUGCUCAGCACAGCGGGGCUGAAGAGAGCGCUGGCUUCCAGCUAGUGAGCAAAGCUUCGAAGUCAGUGGUGCCCAAGAUGGGAGAAAACUCUUUUCCAAGUUUCUGGAUUGUAUACAUGAUGACAUUUUAGUCUUCAUAGACCUUUUAGAAAAUAAAGAAAAAUUAAAAGCAAACUAACCAUACUAUUUUAAAGUGGUGAUGAUUUUCAAUGAAUGCAUAAGUCUGAAGACUGACAAGGAUCUUGAUUCUAUAACCUGAAACAAAUCCAGAUAUUUCUGUGGAAUUUACUUUAUCCCAAAGAUUAAACUGAUUCUGAGGUGAUAUUUACAAAACAAAGAAAAUGAAAUGCAAAAAAAAAGCAGAUUAAAAAAACUGACCUUCCCUCAAAGCAAAUAUAACAUAAUGAUAAAGAUAGAAGUGAUGAUGAUGAUGAUGAUGAUGAUGAUGAUGAUGAUGAUAAAGUUGAUUAUACCUUCUGUGGCUAAACACAUGGCAAAAGCAUCAUUUCUGAUUCUUACAGUGCAUUGUUAACAAAGAAAGCUCUGGCAUGUUUGAAGCUGCAGUCAGAUUUGCAUCUCACUUGGGUGACUUUUUACAUGCCAGGAACUGCCUUACAAAGUUAAUAAAGACAUAUGGCUGUGCAUCAAUUAGAGGUAUCCGUCAGCACACCAAGGCCGUGGAGGGAAUAAGUCAUGUAUAAUUGGCUAUGUUUGAGCCUCUCCCUCCAGCAAAGAGGUAAGGGCAGUGUGUGUGGGCAUGGUGCAUUUGGCACAAGCGAACUGCUCCAGUCCAGAUGGUUCAGUUGUUCAAUACGCAUGCAAAUUGCUCUCUGCAGAAUAAGCUGCUAAGACUCUUCAUUGUUUUUCCAAGGCUUCUAGAGACACUAUCCUGUCUAUGUGAGACAGAAGUGAAUCCAUUAUUUAUAUUUUGUGAUUAAAAUAAAAGAAAAAGUUUAAAUCAUCUUCAUCUCAGUAUACUAAACACACUAUGAUUUCUAUUCUUAUUGGAAAAACGUAUCUAGAAAUUUGUUCUUAUCAUUAACAAUGGUUGACUAUAAACAUCCAAAAUAUUUUCUCGCUAAACAACACCUAAGCAUUUCCUAAUUUAAUUAGUCCCAUUAUUUUAGCCCUGAAAUGAUUUAGAAACUUGUGAAACAUUUUGGCACAUUGGGAUAAAAUUUCUCAUAUUAACUCAUGUUUUUUUUUUCAGUCGUUUAAGUUUUUGAGACACUGUGUGUUUAUUUCCAACUCCUGGGCCCAAAUGAACCUCCUGUCUCAGCCUAAGUAGCUGAGAGUAUAGUCAUGUGCCACCAUGCUUGGUGUUAUUAGCUCAUAUUUUAAAAAGAAUAUAAGGUGGAUAGAUUUUCUCUUUCAACUCAUGUGAGUACCAUUUAGCCAUAAGUACCAGAUCCUUCAGAGCAAUGGAGAAAUUAACUCUUAUCAACCACAUGAACCUAAGAACAAUUUUUUUCCUGACCUCUUAUGAAAUUCUGAGAAUCCAUUAAUCCUGUGGUAGUCCAUAUGAUAAUUUGAAGGCUUAGUAUGACCAGAUUUAGUGCCAGAGAUGGGGUCCUGCUGUUGUUCCCUGAGCUUCAGACACUGUACUAGAAAUCUUAAACAACAGUGAUAACAUAUUGUUGUUGAACAAAUAUUAGCUAAAUUUUUCUGAGCAUAUUUCAUGCCAGACUAUUCUAAACACUUUUCAUGCAUUGCCACCUUUAUCAUUGUUGUGGCCUUAUUUAAAUAGAUAUUCUCGACAGUGCCAUUCUACUGAGCAGGACAAGGCACAGAGAAAGUCCAGCAACUCACUUGAGAGCACCACUGCUGAGUGGGAGAGCUAGAGUUUCAACAUGCAGUUCGGCUUCAAGUUUUCCUUCUCAGAACUGAAGAAGGCUCAGUGACCUAAAUUGAGAAAAAUGACCCCUCCAGACCUUCUAAGUACGUGGAAAAGCUAUCUGUCAUUUCUUUUUUCCUGAAAGGCCAGAAAUCAUGAAACUGUUAGCACAGAACUGGUUUAUUGUCUUCCAUUAAAUCGGUGGAAGCACACAACACUGGUGCUUCUGUUGAAAUUUCCUGUUUACUUAUUUCUCAGUGAAAGGGAUCCUCUCAGUGGGCUGUGCUCCUGCAGGGCGCAGUUGUGUGAGCUGACAUUCCUCGAAGCAAGCAGAGACCAUGUUAUCAUCAUCACGCACACUGACUGACUAGAAACGCAACCAUUCACUAAGCAAAUCUGGUUUUUUCUUUCUCAAGAGCAAAAUCCUUUUACUCCAAAUAUGACUUGACAUACAACAGACCACAGUGAAAAAGACCGGAAGAACAAUGAAAGUGACUAAAAAAUUUAAGCAUAUAAUCUAACAUCUGCUAACCCCUCCCCUGUAAUCUAAUAGAAGACAUUGAGUCUCAUAUCCAUAGUUGAGCAAUUAUCACAUGUUCAUGUAGCUGACAAGUAUAAUUUUAUGUGGACUACAGUUUAACUUCAUUAAAUGCUUAGCCAAAAUGAUAAUGCUGCUUAGAACAGCCAACUAAUAGAUGUAAAAAACAAAUAAGCUCAUUCAGCAUGAAGUAUAAAAUGAAAAACCAUCCAUGGGAUUAAAAAAAUAGAGUAGCAACUCAUUGUUCUAACUUUUAUGGAUUUUUCUCUAAUGUAACGGGUUCAGAUUUUAGACACUAUUCAUUAGAACUGUGAUAAAAAAUUUGAAUAAUUACCAUGAAGAAAUGUGCUCAAUUAUGUUGUAUCAGCUUCAUAUAUAUGUGUGUGUCUCUGUGUGUGCAUAUAGUCUACAGGCCAUACAUAUACAUGCAUGUGUAUAUGUAUAUAUGUAUAUAUGUAGCCAAAAAUGUCUGCCCAAAAAUAUAUAUACACAGUUCAGCAGUUUGCUGUACUAAUAAAUAUCUGGAAGCUAAUGGUCACCACUUGGUAAUUGUAGAGGCCAAAGAUAACUUAUAUUAAUCUCAUAAAGUCUCAAUAAACUUUAUAUUAAAAUA